UUUUUGUGCAGCUGGCCAUGUCGGUCCGCCUAUUCCAUGCAAUAUUGUUAAACUUGUGGACGUCGAGGAGAUGGAAUACAUUGCUAAAAAUGGACAGGGAGAGAUUUGCGUCAAAGGCCCCAACGUCUUCAAAGGGUAUUUCAAGGAUCCCCAAAGAACAGCUGAAACAAUCGACGAGAAAGGCUGGCUCCACACUGGAGAUAUCGGAGAGUGGCUUCCA